ensembl:lncRNA
CCAAAUUGUUAAAAUAGGCAUGACGUUUCCUUUGCCUUGGGCAGUUGGCCUGGGCACAUUGCAGGUGCUCCAAGGCUAAAUUUUCCCGUGGUAUCCACUUGUGUUCCAUGUACCCAGUUGUCUCUACGUCAGCUCUCGCAGUUAUUAAGAGGUAGCCCAAACACUUGCCCAUGUCCACAUGUCCAAUGUAAACUCAUGAAGAGCGACUGGAGGCUAAUAUCAUGGAUAGACUGGGACUGGAAUCACAGGACACUGAUGUCUGGGGUAAUGGAGAGACUGUCCGUCCAAAGGGUUCAAGACCUCCAAACAUCAUGAGACAGAUUGGACUCACGUCAAGUCCGUGCCAUAACUGAGCAUGCAUUUAUCUGUGUCUCAUACUCUCUUCCUUCAUCCGUGAGGCUUCAAUGCAUCCAUUUCCUCUUUUAACUGUUUUAUCUGGCAAGACUUCAUGUUGUUUGCUUAUUUGCAACCAUCCAAAAGAUUCUUGGAUAUUUAGGAGAAUUUACAACUAGGUUAAAACUUCAAAAGUGGUCAGCCAAUAGUGCUGUUGACAAGUGCAGUUGGGUGGUUCAUUUGGGUGUAUUUCCACAGAGGCGAAGCUUACACCCAGCUGAGCUUCACACUCCCUCUGCCCUGGGCUUCAGCCUCUCAUUAUAGGUCUUUCCUGCAGCCUUCUGGCUAUAGAAACACAUUUUCUGCUCCAAUGAUCAAAGACACCAAAGACACCAAAAGUGGGGAAAAACAUCAGUUUUUCAAAACGUCAUUUUUUCACUUUACAUUUUUAUGCAUAGCCACCAUGCUAGACCUUAACAUUGAGUUUGUCAGUCACAGCACAAAGGGGCGGCUCAACAAAGGCUGCAAGACUGAAAAGAGGCCAGUCUAAACUGCUACACUAAAUAUGGAUAAUCGUUUUCUCCCGGUGGCUCAAACAACAUUAAGGAGGUCUUCAUUAGUGGUUUUAACCAGGGCUUCUACAUGGAGUGUGUUUGGCCACCACCUGCUCCAUUAGUCUCUUUCCUGGCCCUACCAGGUUUUGUGUCCACUCAGUUUUAUGUGAAGAGCCGGAAGAACAUUACUGACCUGAAACUAAUAUGCCUC